rnacentral:rRNA from 1 species
AGAACGAACGCUGGCGGCAUGCCCAACACAUGCAAGUCGAACGAGACCUUCGGGUCUAGUGGCGCACGGGUGCGUAACGCGUGGGAAUCUGCCCUUGGGUUCGGAAUAACAGCGAGAAAUUGCUGCUAAUACCGGAUGAUGACGUAAGUCCAAAGAUUUAUCGCCCAAGGAUGAGCCCGCGUAGGAUUAGCUUGUUGGUGAGGUAAGAGCUCACCAAGGCGACGAUCCUUAGCUGGUCUGAGAGGAUGAUCAGCCACACUGGGACUGAGACACGGCCCAGACUCCUACGGGAGGCAGCAGUGGGGAAUAUUGGACAAUGGGCGAAAGCCUGAUCCAGCAAUGCCGCGUGAGUGAUGAAGGCCUUAGGGUUGUAAAGCUCUUUUACCCGGAUGAUAAUGACAGUACCGGAGAAUAAGCUCCGGCUAACUCCGUGCCAGCAGCCGC